UAAUAUGAAAGGGUUAAUUUUAAUGUUAGUUGAUUUCGUUAAUCAGUUUCUCAACUUGUAUUUAUUACUCAAACUCAGUAUUACCUACUCAAUGCCUUUUAAAAGAAAGAUAUAAUGGAGAAAAAAAAUUGAGCCUUAAACAAAUGGUUACUUCUGUAUAUUACCUCGUACCAAUGCUUCAUCCUAUUUGUAAAAUCUUUCUCCUUUAAAUGGUUGGUUAAUACUUUGAGACUUUGUUUACGUGUGGCAGUGUUGUAAAAAGAAACUAAAGAUCACAUUUUACCUGUAUCGAUGGACUAUCCCUUUUCUUCAAGUGCAGUUUUGGUAAUUAACGAGUUGUGAACGUUACAGGUGAUAUUGGAGGUUGGCUGUACAACAUUUACUUGAAGUUGAAGAGUUAAGUAUUUGAUUCCAUUAGGCCUUCACAUGUGUUAAUCUCAUUUACAGCAUUAAAUUGCAGCAGUAACAUUUUUCUUUCUGUGAAGUUCUAAACUUAGUUAUGACCUACUUAGCAAUGCCUUUGAAAAGGGAUAUUGUGUCCAUGGUAAAUUAAUUGUAUACCUAAACAGAGAUAGCUCAGCUUUGCCCAUCAGGCUUGUCAUUGACAUCUGGUAGACUUCUGCACAUGUAAAACUGAAUUCAGAUAAAACCAUGUACAAUUUCUAGUUCUUAAUAUUUGUCUUUCUGACUAAUAGUUUAAAGCAAUAUUUGUUAAUGUUUUCUUGCACUAUCACAACUGCUUUUUAGUUCUUUUUCAAGAAGCAUGUUCGUAGUAGAGACAGAUCUGUGUAACAGGAGGGAAAGCAGCGCCGAGCCUCUGGCUGGCUGUGUUUUAUUUUUGCAAAUGUGCUUUCUAAUAGCCAUUGCCUUCCAUGUUGUUUACCUAAUCAGCACAUUUUGUCUGAAUACUUGAACAUUUUACCAAUAACGCAGGUAUAGAAAAAGAAAAAAUACUUACAAUGAGUAAUCUUUUUGUUCACUUUUAACAUCAUGAUGACGAAUCCUUUUUUCUAGCAAUUAUUUUUCAAUUGUGAAAGUUUGACAGUAUUUUGUUUGGGGUUUUAUUUGGUUUUAUUUGUGUGCUUUUAAUUUGCAGAAGUUAGUAACUGCAGCUCACCUACUGCACCAAAGCUCUCGAUUUUAGGAGCCCAGCUUUAGUCAUUUGAACAUGCUUCUAAAUAAAACAAAACCAAAACUAUGCUUUUGAUCUAUAAUAAUAGCUCAAUAACUUUGUCAAAAAAAGCUCUAUUAUAUGCAGUGAUGGUUUGUGGAAGGGUGUGGCAAGUUUAAAUUUGUAUUGUGUGUGGUGUUCAAAUAAAGUGAAAUCUACAUUCAUGUGACUUAUUGGUCAGCAUGGCCAUUAAUUAAUGAGUAGAAACUGAUUAAACUUUGAUUUCCUUUUUUUAAAUCGUGUUGCAUUUGAUUCCUGAUCAGAUUCCCUCAAAGCGAGCUCGUGUUCUUACAUUUGGGAUUUGACGGUGAGAGGCAACUGAAAUGUUUGUUCCUUAUUUACAAACUGUGUGAAAUAAAUACUUAAUUUGAGUUUGCACUUUAAAACCCAACGCUCCUUCAGAGUAGCUUAAGUGCUUGUGGCUCAUCAUUAUUAGCCCUGUGAAAUUCUAAAGGAAUCAAAUAAUUCAUGAUGGCUUCAAUUUUCUGCAGAUUGAUUUUUAUACAGUUUUUUCCCCAUGGCUAUCCUUCUGUCCUUCCCUUCUUCGCCUUCUGUCACCUCGCUCUCUAUCACAGCGUUCAUUGUCAUUGACCUCAGCAGCAAAUUUCACUCGGAUUCACUUAGGAUCACAGGAAUCAGGGGAAAGGGAUUUGAAAGGUGGUUUCUCCAGCACAUUUUAAGAAAAGGGACCAAAAGUUAUUUUAGCUUCCUCAAUAGAUUGCAUGUUGCUUAUUAGGAUAAGAAAUGAAUAUUAAAUGCAAUAUAUGUCUUGUCUUUAUUAUGGCAUCUGUUUAGGAGUUGUUCAAAUCACUGCAGUAGGGCUCUGCAAAUAAAGUCAUGUAACCUAUUAUGAUGGAUCUAAUGUACUGUAACUUUAUCAGUGAACAGUAAAAUCUCGAAUAACAAGUACAAACAUUGAACAAUUACCUAUGAAGAUUUGUAAAAGUAAAUUUUUUCCAAUAGAUUUCAUUCUUGUCAUUUUGUAAGACGACCCUGCAGUCCACCUGUUUGUAACUUUUUUAAUAAAAUAGAUAUCUGUAUU
rnacentral:lncRNA from 1 species